rnacentral:tRNA from 1 species
CGCGGGGUGGAGCAGCUCGCUAGCUCGCUGGGCUCAUAACCCAGAGGUCGCAGGUUCAAAUCCUGUCCCCGCUA